rnacentral:rRNA from 1 species
UUAAGCGACUAAGCGUACACGGUGGAUGCCCGGCAGUCAGAGGCGAUGAAGGACGUGCUAAUCUGCGAAAGCGUCGGUAAGGUGAUAUGAACCGUUAUAACCGGCGAUGUCCGAAUGGAAACCCAGUGCAAUUCGUUGCACUAUCGUUAACUGAAUACAUAGGUUAACGAGGCGAACCGGGGAACUGAAACAUCUAAGUACCCGAGGAAAGAAAUCAACCGAGAUUCCCCAGUAGCGGCGAGCGAACGAGCAGCCAAGUCUGAAUCAGCUUGUGUGUUAGUGGAACGGUCUGGAAAGUCCGACGGUACAGGGUGAUAGUCCCGUACACCAAAAUGCACAGGUUGUGAACUCGAAGAGUAGGGCGGGACACGUGGUAUCCUGUCUGAAUAUGGGGGACCAUCCUCCAAGGCUAAAUACUCUGACUGACCGAUAGUGAACCAGUACCGUGAGGGAAAGGCGAAAAGAACCCCGGCGAGGGGAGUGAAAAAGAACCUGAAACCGUGUACGUACAAGCAGUGGGAGCACCUUCGGGUGUGACUGCGUACCUUUUGUAUAAUGGGUCAGCGACUUAUAUUCUGUAGCAAGGUUAACCGUAUAGGGGAGCCGCAGGGAAACCGAGUCUUAACUGGGCGUUAAGUUGCAGGGUAUAGACCCGAAACCCGGUGAUCUAGCCAUGGGCAGGUUGAAGGUUGGGUAACACUAACUGGAGGACCGAACCGACUAAUGUUGAAAAAUUAGCGGAUGACUUGUGGCUGGGGGUGAAAGGCCAAUCAAACCGGGAGAUAGCUGGUUCUCCCCGAAAGCUAUUUAGGUAGCGCCUCGUGAACUCAUCUUCGGGGGUAGAGCACUGUUUCGGCUAGGGGGUCAUCCCGACUUACCAACCCGAUGCAAACUACGAAUACCGAAGAAUGUUAUCACGGGAGACACGGCGGGUGCUAACGUCCGUCGUGAAGAGGAAACAACCAGACCGCCAGCUAAGGUCCCAAAGUCAUGGUUAAGUGGAAACGAUGUGGAAGGCACAGACAGCCGGAUGUUGGCUUAGAAGCAGCCAUCAUUUAAAGAAAGCGUAAUAGCUCACUGGUCGAGUCGGCCUGCGCGGAAGAUGUAACGGGCUAAACCAUGCACCGAAGCUGCGGCAGCGACACUAUGUGUUGUUGGGUAGGGGAGCGUUCUGUAAGCCUGCGAAGGUGUGCUGUGAGGCAUGCUGGAGGUAUCAGAAGUGCGAAUGCUGACAUAAGUAACGAUAAAGCGGGUGAAAAGCCCGCUCGCCGGAAGACCAAGGGUUCCUGUCCAACGUUAAUCGGGGCAGGGUGAGUCGACCCCUAAGGCGAGGCCGAAAGGCGUAGUCGAUGGGAAACAGGUUAAUAUUCCUGUACUUGGUGUUACUGCGAAGGGGGGACGGAGAAGGCUAUGUUAGCCGGGCGACGGUUGUCCCGGUUUAAGCAUGUAGGCUGAUUGUCCAGGCAAAUCCGGAUAAUCAAGGCUGAGGUGUGAUGACGAGGCACUACGGUGCUGAAGUAACAAAUGCCCUGCUUCGGAAAAGCCUCUAAGCAUCAGGUAACAUUAAAUCGUACCCCAAACCGACACAGGUGGUCAGGUAGAGAAUACCAAGGCGCUUGAGAGAACUCGGGUGAAGGAACUAGGCAAAAUGGUGCCGUAACUUCGGAGAAGGCACGCUGGUGUAGGUGAAGUCCCUGCGGAUGGAGCUGAGACCAGUCGAAGAUACCAGCUGGCUGCAACUGUUUAUUAAAACACAGCACUGUGCAAACACGAAAGUGGACGUAUACGGUGUGACGCCUGCCCGGUGCCGGAAGGUUAAUUGAUGGGGUUAUCCGUAAGGAGAAGCUCUUGAUCGAAGCCCGGUAAACGGCGGCCGUAACUAUAACGUCCUAAGGUAGCGAAAUUCCUUGUCGGGUAAGUUCCGACCUGCACGAAUGGCGUAAUGAUGGCCAGGCUGUCUCCACCCGAGACUCAGUGAAAUUGAACUCGCUGUGAAGAUGCAGUGUACCCGCGGCAAGACGGAAAGACCCCGUGAACCUUUACUAUAGCUUGACACUGAACAUUGAGCCUUGAUGUGUAGGAUAGGUGGGAGGCUUUGAAGCGUGGACGCCAGUCUGCGUGGAGCCAACCUUGAAAUACCACCCUUUAAUGUUUGAUGUUCUAACGUUGGCCCCUGACCGGGGUUGCGGACAGUGUCUGGUGGGUAGUUUGACUGGGGCGGUCUCCUCCCAAAGCGUAACGGAGGAGCACGAAGGUUAGCUAAUCCUGGUCGGACAUCAGGAGGUUAGUGCAAUGGCAUAAGCUAGCUUGACUGCGAGCGUGACGGCGCGAGCAGGUGCGAAAGCAGGUCAUAGUGAUCCGGUGGUUCUGAAUGGAAGGGCCAUCGCUCAACGGAUAAAAGGUACUCCGGGAUAACAGGCUGAUACCGCCCAAGAGUUCAUAUCGACGGCGGUGUUUGGCACCUCGAUGUCGGCUCAUCACAUCCUGGGGCUGAAGUAGGUCCCAAGGGUAUGGCUGUUCGCCAUUUAAAGUGGUACGCGAGCUGGGUUUAGAACGUCGUGAGACAGUUCGGUCCCUAUCUGCCGUGGGCGCUGGAGAAUUGAGGGGGGCUGCUCCUAGUACGAGAGGACCGGAGUGGACGCAUCACUGGUGUUCGGGUUGUCAUGCCAAUGGCACUGCCCGGUAGCUAAAUGCGGAAGAGAUAAGUGCUGAAAGCAUCUAAGCACGAAACUUGCCCCGAGAUGAGUUCUCCCUGAGACUUUAAGUCUCCUGAAGGAACGUUGAAGACGACGACGUUGAUAGGCCGGGUGUGUAAGCGCAGCGAUGCGUUGAGCUAACCGGUACUAAUGAACCGUGAGGCUUAACCU